UGCUGGAAGCAGGGGGCUGCCGCAUCCCCUGGUUUGAAGUGGGCUCCCUCAGAUGCAGGGUUUACAGUUUGGGUCAAUGGCUCUCAGCAGUGCACCCCCACUAUACAAAUUGUUCCAGCCCCCUUGCAUGAGAACCACGUGCCGAGAGAGCACACAGGCAAAAAUGUGCAAUUCUGGACAGCUCCUCCAAAAGGAAACAUUUCAAUUCCAUGCAGGUCACGCAAAGGUUAGCUAGACAAAUGUUACUCUUGCCAUUAAGCAAGGAGCCCCCUGCACCUUCCCUCCCCAAAACUCCACUCACCACCCACGGUCGGGGCUAGUUUAUCCCCUCUGACUGCAUAAAUCAUUCCCCCGACACCUUCACUUCCACCUUCACGCUUACUGCUUGGUUUUGUCUUUCGCUGAGAAGUCCGGUGUGAGGUCCGGGAAGUGGAACAGCUGCGAUGAGUGGGUUGAAAGCACAUUUCCCACCCCUCAUCCUCCUCCCAGUUCUGCUGCCUGUGGGUGGAUAUGGCUUUAAGACAGCGAUGAUGGAUGAGUGACGCUCACCCAGCCUUUGCCCUGUCUGGUAGGUGUUGCCUGGGCAGUAGAGACACUCGAUUUCAGAACUGUUUGUUCAAGGGCUUCCUGGGAAUCCCUUCCUUUGUCUCCCUUUUUGGCUGACUUGACUUUUAAACCUUCCUGCUGCAAAUGAAGGAGGCCGGGUGGGGUGUGAGACACUGGGGAAACGAGCCUCGGCUUAAUAGGCAAAGACAUUUCAGAGUUAUAAGCCACUCAGAUUGCCCAUGUUUAGCUGCAAUUAGCUGCCUCUUGCCUAUAUGUCAUACAGGCAUUUAUAUUUGUUUGUGUUGUUCUAAAGGUGGAAUUACUCACUCUGCUUGGAAACCGGACCAGCCUGGGGCUGCCGAACUUUGCCCCAGUGGUCCGGGCCUGGUAGCAGCCACUGGAGUAAUGCUAAUCUACAGCAGCUGAGAACGUGGACCUUUGGAAACAUCUGUCCAAGUGGGAACCUGCCUUUGCUUAAGAGACCCUCUUAAGAAAUUCUGCUCCUAGAUUAUUGGGAGCUCCCAGCAGAUCCAGAGGCAAUGGAGAGGUAACCCACCGGAGAAAGAAGGCUCCUGGAAUAUGCUGCAUUGGCUGCCAAACAUCAACAUGUGCAACCAUAAAACGCAGCCCCGGGAAGCGGAAUGCGAUAAUCUCGGACUUGAAAUUGUGAGCCAUGGGAGGUGAGAGAUGGAAGAGGGAGAGCUCUUCCUGGGGUGAAAAGAAGCACCACUCAUCAGUUCCAAGGCCAGCAGGGACCCCGUGAUCCUCCAGUCUAAUCUCCUGCGUAACGCAAGCCAGAGAACUUCCUCAGCAUAAUUCCCAUUUGAAUCAGUGCAGAUCUUUCCAAAAACUGUCCAAUCUCGAUUUAAAAACGGCUAGUGAUGGAGAAUCUGUCGCAGCCCUUGAUCCAUGACCAUCUAGAACAUCACAGCUGUCUCUAUACUGUACGGUGUAAGCAUCCUGACAGCAAGGUAGAUCGGAUCCAUAUCCUCCUGCUCGACGAAGCACAAGCCCCCUCUACACCUGAACAUAAAAGGCCUUUGCCACAAUCACCUCUCUACCGCGGUCAUCGUCUCACUAACCCGUCUGGCACUGAUCUCUCCUCUCCUUCACCACCCCAUCCGGCCUGCCACCACCUGCACCAUCGUCUUGGUUCGCCUUAAAUGAAGGAGUGAUUCCCAGGCAGGCAGAGAGAGCUAGCCAGCCUGGAUGCUGCUCUGCCACUCCCUUUCUCAGCAUUGCUUUGUCUCUACAGGAGUUAAUGAAACGCAGGUGCAGGCUAGAACAUGAAUUGCAACAGUGCACUUGUGUCUGUUUCCAGGCACCGGGUGUUCUAGUUAACCCAUG